rnacentral:rRNA from 1 species
CCUGGUUGAUCCUGCCGGUAGUCAUAUGCUUGUCUCAAAAGAUUAAGCCAUGCAUGUGUAAGUAUGAACUAUUUCAGACUGUGAAACUGCGAAUGGCUCAUUAAAUCAGUUAUAGUUUGUUUGAUGGUGCGUGCUACUGGGAUAACCGUAAAUUCUAGAGCUAUCGUGCAACAAACCCGACUUCGGAAGGAUGCAUUUAUUAGAUAAAAAAAAAGGCGUGGGCUUUGCUGCUGCUCCGAUGAUUCAUGAUAACUUCGGCGGAUCGCUUGCGGCCCUCGUGCGGCGGCGCAUCAUUCAAAUUUCUGCCCUAUCAACUUUUCGAUGGUAGGAUAGGGGCCUACCAUGGUGGUGGCGGGUGGCGGAGGAGUUAGGGUUCGAUUCGGAGGGGAGCACGGCGGCUACCACAUCCAAGGAAGGCAGCGGUAGCGCAAAUUACCCAAUCGACGCGGGGGGUAGUGACAAUAAAUAACAAUACCGGGCUCUUGAUGCGGUAGUGGAAUAAAGUACAAUCUAAAUCCCUCCCUUACGAGGAUCCAUUGGAGGGCAAAAUCGGUGCCGGCGGCGGCGCGAUAAUUCCAGCUCAAUAGCGUAUAUUUAAGUUGUUGCAGUUAAAAAAAAGCUUCGUAGUUGGACUUUGGGGCCGGGUGGGUCGGUCCGCCUCGCGGUGUGCACGGUCGUCCCAUCCCUCUCUGUCGGCGAUCGUGCCUGGCCUUAACUGGCGGGUUAGUGCCUCCGGCUGUUACUUUGAAAAAAUUAGAGUGCUCAAAGCAAGCCCACGCUCUGGAUACAUUAGCAUGGGAUAACAUCACAGGAUUUCGGUCCUAUUGUGUUGGCCUUGGGGGAUGGGUAAUGAUUAAGAGGGGACGGUCGGGGGGGGCAUUAAAUAUUUCAUAGUCGAGAGGUGAAAUUCUUGGAUUUAUGAAAAGGCGAACCACUGCGAAAGCAUUGCCAAGAUGUUUUCAUUAAUCAAGAACGAAAGUUGGGGGCUCGAAGGCGAUCGGAUACCGUCCUAGUCUCAACCAUAAGCGAUGCCGACCGGGGAUGGGCGGAUGUUACUCUUAGGACUCCGCCCGGCACCUUAUGAAAAAUCAAAGUCUUUGGGUUCGGGGGGGGGUAUGGUGCAAAGGCUGAAACUUAAAGGAAUUGUGGAAGGGCACCACCGGGGGAGUGGAGCCUGCGGCUUAAUUUGACUCAACACGGGGGGAAACUUACCAGGUCGGACAUAGCAAGGAUUGACAGGCUGAGAGCUCUUUCUUGAUUCUAUGGGUGGUGGUGCAUGGCCGUUCUUAGUUGGUGGAAGCGAUUUGUGCGGUUAAUUCCGAUAGCGAGCGAGACCUCGACACGCUAACUAACUUCUUCUGCGGAGGCAUCCCUCAUGACCAGCUUCUUAGAGGACUAUGGCGUUUAGGCCCGCGGAAGUUGAGGCAAUAACAGGUCUG